rnacentral:rRNA from 1 species
UACGUAUGGUGCAAGCGUUAUCCGGAUUUACUGGGUGUAAAGGGAGCGCAGGCGGCACGGCAAGCCUGAUGUGAAAGCCCGCGGCCCAACCGCGGGACUGCAUUGGGAACUACCGGGCUGGAGUGCCGGAGAGGUAGGCGGAAUUCCUAGUGUAGCGGUGAAAUGCGUAGAUAUUAGGAGGAACACCAGUGGCGAAGGCGGCUUACUGGACUGUAACUGACGUUGAGGCUCGAAAGCGUGGGUAUCAAACAGG